rnacentral:rRNA from 1 species
GAUGAACGCUGGCGGCGUGCCUAAUACAUGCAAGUCGAGCGAACAGACGAGGAGCUUGCUCCUUCGACGUUAGCGGCGGACGGGUGAGUAACACGUAGUUAACCUACCUAUAAGACUGGGAUAACUUCGGGAAACCGGAGCUAAUACCGGAUAAUAUUUCGAACCGCAUGGUUCGAUAGUGAAAGAUGGCUUUGCUAUCACUUAUAGAUGGACCUGCGCCGUAUUAGCUAGUUGGUAAGGUAACGGCUUACCAAGGCAACGAUACGUAGCCGACCUGAGAGGGUGAGCGGCCACACAGGAACUGAGACACGGUCCAGACUCCUACGGGAGGCAGCAGUAGGGAAUCUUCCGCGAUGGGCGAAAGCCUGACGGAGCAACGCCGCGUGAGUGAUGAAGGUCUUCGGAUCGUAAAACUCUGUUAUUAGGGAAGAACAAACGUGUAAGUAACUGUGCACGUCUUGACGGUACCUAAGCAGAAAGCCACGGCUAACUACGUG